rnacentral:rRNA from 1 species
GAUUUCUGACUUGGCGCACCCGGCCCGCCACGUUUACGUGUGUGAGUGCCGGGAUGCGCCUGUCACUUUUCUGGUAAACCAUUGUGCUCUUCACUGAGUGUGAUGGGUAGCCAGAUAUUUUACUUUGAAAAAAUUAGAGUGUUUAAAGCAGGCGUUUGCUAUGAAUACAUUAGCAUGGAAUAAUAAGUUAGGGCUUUGGUUCUAUUUUGUUGGUUUCUAGGACUGAAGUAAUGAUUGAUAGGGAUAGUUGGGGGUGCUAGUAUUCAGCGGCCAGAGGUGAAAUUCUUGGAUUCGCUGAAGACUAACUUAUGCGAAAGCAUU